UCAUUUACUCAUUUGUUUGUUCUUUGAAAGACAGACAUAUACAAAUGCAAAAAAAAUAUUCAACAAUGAAGAGAUAACUUGAUUAGUGUCCUACAAUUAAAUAGUAUUCUCGAGGUAUCCAAAGUUGUCAUAAUACAUAUCCUACGAGGGAUUAUGAAAAAUGUUUUCUAAAUAAAAUCGAAUACACAAGAUCAAAAACUAAACCUAAGUGCACUAUUUCUAGUGUCGAACUCAAGCAUCAUAAGACAAAGAAAAUCUAAACCGGAUCACAAAUUCUCGUCUAAUCUAUUUAACAUAACUCAAGCUUGUGCCUGCGUUGCAACAACCAAUCAGCGUCCCAAGUAGAGUCAUGCCAACAUAUUAUUUUAUUGAAAAAGAACUAGAGCACUAAAUAAAUAUUCGAUUAAAAACGUAUUUUCAAGCAUUAAUAAAUUAAAAAACAUGAAUCAAUGGUCCUUAAAAGCGACUAAUAGCCACUUAUUUAAUUUUUACUUGAAAUUUGUACAAACUUUGCAACAACAAUAACUAAUAUUGUGGUGGGAAAUUCUUUUAAAAUCCUUUAAAACCCUUUUAAAACCCUUUUAAACCCUUUGAGAAAAAAAUUUUGGCGGGAAUUUUUUUGGCGGGAAAAUUGUGGUGGGAAAUUUAUUUUGGAAUAUUUUCGGCAAAAACAAUAUUUAUAUUUUAUUUCGUUAGCCUGAAACAAUUUCUAAAUAGGGGUAAAAUGGUCAUUAAAAAUUUAAAGAGAGUAAAAAUGAAAAUGACAAAUAGGAAAAUGUAGAAUUGAAAAGGAGUAGUGUGGAAAGAGCAUUCUCAGCAAUUAUUCUUAAAAUUAUUGAAGUAUCUUUUAAAGUACUUUUGUGUUAAUAAAGUAAGAAUUGACAAAGAAUGUCAUCAUAUUAAAGUCAAAAACAAUUAUAAUUUUUAAAAUAUUAUUGAAUUGAUAUAUUUUAACUUUAUAAAACAUUAUUAAUAUUUAAACUUAUAAAAAAAU
rnacentral:sRNA from 1 species